GGAGUUAGCCGGUGCUUCUUCUGUGAGUGAUGUCCUUCCUGCCGGUUAUUGACCCGCAGGCCUUCUUCCUCACUGAAAGUGCUUUACAACCCGAAGGCCUUCUUCACACACGCGGCAUGGCUGGAUCAGGGUUGCCCCCAUUGUCCAAUAUUCCCCACUGCUGCCUCCCGUAGGAGUCUGGGCCGUGUCUCAGUCCCAGUGUGGCUGAUCAUCCUCUCAGACCAGCUACGGAUCGUCGCCUUGGUGAGCCGUUACCUCACCAACCAGCUAAUCCGACAUAGGCUCAUCCGAUAGCGCGAGGCCCGAAGGUCCCCCGCUUUCCCCCGUAGGGCGUAUGCGGUAUUAGCCUGGGUUUCCCCAGGUUAUCCCCCACUACCGGGCAGAUUCCUAUGCAUUACUCACCCGUCCGCCGCUCGCCACCAGGGAGCAAGCUCCCCGUGCUGCCGCUCGACUUGCAUGUGUUAGGUCGUCGCCGCCACGCGUUCAUCUGAGCCACUGAUACAACUACUGA
rnacentral:rRNA from 1 species